CCUACGUGGGGCAGCAGUGAGGAAUAUUGGUCAAUGGACGCGAGCCUGAACCAGCCAAGUCGCGUGAGGGAAGACGGUCCUAUGGAUUGUAAACCUCUUUUGUCGGGGAGCAAAAGACGCCACGCGUGGCGUUCCGAGAGUACCCGAAGAAAAAGCAUCGGCUAAUUCCGUGCCAGCAGCCGCGGUAAUACGGAGGAUGCGAGCGUUAUCCGGAUUUAUUGGGUUUAAAGGGUGCGCAGGCGGAAGAUCAAGUCAGCGGUAAAAUUGAGAGGCUCAACCUCUUCGAGCCGUUGAAACUGGUUUUCUUGAGUGAGCGAGAAGUAUGCGGAAGGCGUGGUGUAGCGGUGAAAUGCAUAGAUAUCACGCAGAACUCCGAUUGCGAAGGCAGCAUACCGGCGCUCAACUGACGCUCAUGCACGAAAGUGUGGGUAUCGAACAGGAUUAGAUACCCGAGUAGUC
rnacentral:rRNA from 1 species